rnacentral:lncRNA from 1 species
AUGUACUUCAACAAGCUUAUCAACAAAUAUAUACCAGAUGCUACAUUGGCAUGUUAUUAUUUUGUUAGUGUAGUCACAUGAACUUCAUAUGAUUUAGCUGCAUUGUCAUAUAUUUAUUCACAAGAUCUGCUCGUCUAUAUCUGUCAAGACUGGAAACCUUGAGACGGUGAUCAAACAUUUGGUUGAAGGAAUCAGCAAACAGAUGUUUUCGAGGUACACCUAUGAUCUAUGUGUCAACUCUCAAAUGUCUAGUACUGCAAAACUGUUGUAUGGCCAUGAUGGUGCUUUAUUUAUUUUUCUGUCUUUUGUGUAUACAGACCAAUACUUCGUUCUUAUUUUCAGUUACUUGCAAUCUUGCAUGUUAUUGCUGGCAUGAGUUUUGUAUGUCCAUGACUGUUGUGAUACUGUUAAUAUGAUGCAGAUUUGUGUUCUUGUGUAUGCUGCAAUAUUUUUGAUAUUUUAGAGAAGUGCUAAAUUUGUGACCAUUAUUUUGAGCAUCAUGUUGUGAGCUCUGAUGUUCCUCUCAAGACUUGGAUCGGCAACCUGAUGCAAGUGCUCAAGGGAUAUCUGGAGCAUGUACUUCUCAAGGCGAUGUGAUGCAUGUGUAGUUAAUUACCAUGUUGAUUGGAAGUGUUUCGAUCUAGCAACAGUAGCUGAUAUGUGGCCUUGUCUAUAGCAGGUUGUAGAUUAAACUUGCAGUGUAUAGACCAUUUUGCAACUUAAGCUAGCUUUUUUGGAUCGAUGGGUGGUAUGAAUAUGUUGUAUGAUGAUGAAUAUUCGGUCAUCUAUGAAUUAUUUGAAUUAUGGCUGAUAUAUAUAUAUCCAAAUUUGGUGUAUUGUUGCUU